rnacentral:rRNA from 1 species
GUGGGGAAUCUUGCGCAAUGGGCGAAAGCCUGACGCAGCCAUGCCGCGUGAAUGAUGAAGGUCUUAGGAUUGUAAAAUUCUUUCACCGGUGAAGAUAAUGACUGUAGCCGGAGAAGAAGCCCCGGCUAACUUCGUGCCAGCAGCCGCGGUAAUACGAAGGGGGCUAGCGUUGCUCGGAUUUACUGGGCGUAAAGGGCGCGUAGGCGGACAUUUAAGUCAGGGGUGAAAUCCCGGGGCUCAACCUCGGAACUGCCUUUGAUACUGGGUGUCUUGAGUAUGAGAGAGGUGUGUGGAACUCCGAGUGUAGAGGUGAAAUUCGUAGAUAUUCGGAAGAACACCAGUGGCGAAGGCGACACACUGGCUCAUUACUGACGCUGAGGCGCGAAAGCGUGGGGAGCAAACAGGAUUAGAUACCCGAGUAGUCC